AGUGAACGCUGGCGGUAGGCCUAACACAUGCAAGUCGAACGGCAGCACAGUAAGAGCUUGCUCUUACGGGUGGCGAGUGGCGGACGGGUGAGGAAUACAUCGGAAUCUACUUUUUCGUGGGGGAUAACGUAGGGAAACUUACGCUAAUACCGCAUACGACCUACGGGUGAAAGUAGGGGAUCUUCGGACCUUGCGCGAUUGAAUGAGCCGAUGUCGGAUUAGCUAGUUGGCGGGGUAAAGGCCCACCAAGGCGACGAUCCGUAGCUGGUCUGAGAGGAUGAUCAGCCACACUGGAACUGAGACACGGUCCAGACUCCUACGGGAGGCAGCAGUGGGGAAUAUUGGAUAAUGGGCGCAAGCCUGAUCCAGCCAUACCGCGUGGGUGAAGAAGGCCUUCGGGUUGUAAAGCCCUUUUGUUGGGAAAGAAAAGCAGCAGGUUAAUACCCCGCUGUUCUGACGGUACCCAAAGAAUAAGCACCGGCUAACUUCGUG
rnacentral:rRNA from 1 species